CAUACUUUCCUUGCUCUUAGCCAAUGCAACUGGAAGAAAUACAGACUGCUUAGAAGUAAGAAGGUGUCAUUGCGAGGUACCUAUAAAAACUUUUUUUUCUUUACCUUUAGAGAGAAGACUGCUCACGUAGACUGAAAAAGGGCAUCGGUGAGAAGCUCUGCCUCCACCUGUAGCUGAUUAACCUGUCACUCAGGUUGUCCGCAAAGGUGGGGAGCUGGGGCUUGAACCCAAGGCUUGUGCGAGAUAACAUGUGUGCUCAACUGAGUGUACCACUGCUCCAGUCCUAAAAUUGUUUGAGUAUUAAGAACUAAUCAUCAUUCUUCAUCAUUCCUUCCUCCCUAUUUUCUUGUGAGAAGUCACCUGGCCCUUUCACACCAGGGCACUCUGAUUCCUGUUCCCAGAGCUGCACCAUCCCUCAGCCUCCUUCAGAUCCUGAGAUCGAUGUAGAUAAUAACACUUCAUGGCUAAGAGUUCCUGUCAAUGGAGUUGAAUAAUCCAGUAUUUGGCUUUCUGGUCUCAAAUGUGUUUGCAACACUUUAAUUCAAAAACUAACGGAAAAAAGAUCCAAUUGAGCCUUGGAUAGAAGACUACUGGCCUAGAAAUAGUCAUCUUUCUUCCCAGGAGUCAAAUUUCUUUGCAUCCUGAAUAUUCAAAUUAAAGACUAUACAUCAUUAAAAAUGAA